rnacentral:lncRNA from 1 species
AAAGAUUUAUAGGAAAAUAUCAUUUAUGUUCACUCACAAGCAGAUAAAAAAAAGUCCUAUACAAAAUAUUAUCAAACUGCUUUCAUCAACACAUAAAAGGACAUCAUCAACUAAGCUGAUUUUAUUCCAAAGAUUCAAGGUCGAUUUUACAGAGGGAAAUAAAUCUUUUGCCUGCUAUGCUGACAGAAUUUUUUAAAAGCUGUGAUCGUUUCAAUUAAGAAGCUGCAUUUGACAACAUUCAAAAUCUAAAUCAUGAUACAAAUAAUACCAAAUAGAGCACAUUAUUAAUCUGACAGCUGUGAAUCAGAAUCUCACUUCAGACAACACACUCAGUGAUGAAACAGUGAAAGCUUUUCCUUCAAGUCUGUGAAUGGUUCAAAGACUUCCACCCAAACCACUUUCCUUGCACAGGGUGGUGGAUGUCCUGGCCAGUGAAGAUGAAAGAAAUAAAUGAUAUAAAACUGGAAAGGAUGAAAUAAAACUGAUAGGAUAUUCAGAGAUGAUAUAUCUGUAUUAUUUUACAAAAUAAAAGAAUACAGAUAAAUUAUUACAGUCAGUGAGGUUAUUUAACAAGGAUGAUGCUCCACAGUCCACAUACAAAAAUCUAUUUUUAGCGCCACACCUGUUCCCAGGCUGGGGGUCCAAUGGGAGCUGUAGCCGCCAGCCUACACCACAGCAACGCAGGAUCUGAGCCACGUCUGCAGUCUACACCCCCAGCUCACAGCAAUGCCGGAUCCUUAACCCACUGAGCGAGGCCAGGGAUCGAACCUGCAACCUCAAGGUUCCUAGUUGGAUUUGUUUCCUCUAUACCACGACGGGAACACCCGGUUGUACCUCUAUACACAAGCAAGCAGAAAAUGAAACUUCUGAAGAUCCCAUUUGCAAGACAUUUGAAAAAGAAACAGUAAAUGUCAGGAAUAAAUCUAACAAAAGAUGUGCGAGAAGAACUUAGCACGUAAAUCUAUAAAACAUUACGGACAGCAAUUAAUUCAGUGGAGCACAAAGACCAAGGAAUUAGAAGCCCCAGUAUUAUAAAUAUUCCAGUCUGAUCUAUAGCACAAGAAAAUCCCAGCAGGGUCUUUGGGGAGCUUGACAACCAUGGAAACGCCAAGGGCCAGCAACAGUCUUUUGAGAGAAGAAGAAUGUGUGGGACUUGCUGUAUCACAUACUAAGACGCAUGAGAAGCUACUGCAGUUUAAAAAGCGAGGUACUGGUGUGAAGACGGACAUAAACACCGAGGAAUGGCUCAGGAUGCCCAGAAACAACCUCACACAUAUGUAGAAAAAAGAGAGAGAGGUGGACAGCAACAGGAAAAAAUUUUUUCAAUGAACUCUUUGAGAUUAACUAGAUAUCUAGAUGGAAUUAAACUUGGCUCCUAUUCUAACCACACGGGAAAAUCAGCUGCAUAUGGGUUGCAGCAUAAUGAAAAGCCAAUACUAACACUUGCAGAAUAUAAUUUAGUAAGAUAACGUCAUCAUUUUGGAGUAGAAACGAUGUUUUUUCUUUUGAGGGCCACCCCUGCAGCAUGUGGAAGUCCCAGACUAGGGGUGGAAUCAGAGCUGCAGCUGCUGGCCUACGCCACAGUCACAGCCACGCCAGAUCCAGGCCAAAUGUGCAGCCUAGGCUGCAGCUCGCGGCAACACCAGAUCCUUGACCCACCGAGCAAGGCCAGGGAGCGAACCCGCAUCCUCAUGGAUACUAGCUGGGUUCUUAACCCACUGAAGCACAACAGGAACUCCCACAAAUGACUCUUUAAACAGGCACACACAGCACUAACCGUAAACAAUGGAUAAACUAGGCUACAUUAAAAUCAAAACCUUCGGUUCGUCAGCAGACACCCAUUAAGGGAGUGAAAAGGCAAACCACAGAAGAGGAGACGAUUGAACAGCACAUACAAGCAAAGGGGACCGUGGCCUGUGUGUGUGUGUGUGUGUGUGUGUGUGUGUGUGUGUGUGUGUGUGUGUGUGUGUAGAACUUCUCCAAAAAUCAACAAGGAAAAGACAAUCCAAUAGGAAAAAAGGGCAAGAGGCUUGAACGAGCACUCGACAGAAGAGGGUUUUCAAACACAGAGGGGGACCCAUAGGUCAGUCCCAUUAGGAAUCGGGUAAAUGCAAAGUUAAACCACAUAACCUAACACUGUACGCCGGAACUGGGGGGGAUCCCACGAGAGAGCAGACAGACGCAUUGAGUGACCUCUCACGUCGCUGGCGGAGACGGUAUGUAGCUGAACACUCUGUGAACAGUCUGCGUUUUCUAUUAAAAGCUGAGGACACACACAGCUCACGACCAGUCUUCCUCGCAGCCACAUUCCCAACAGAAACACGCGCACUCCAGAGGCACCUGCGGCCCCUUCAGAGCAGUGCUAUUCGUGGAAACCGCCCACCAGUGAGGACGCGGCUCAUGCUCUGCUUCUCUUCCUUCCGGGGCCGGCAGGAGCCCAUGUCCUGACCAUCUAGGGAGCUUUAUGGGGCGGUGGGUCCUGUUUCGGUCAAUUAAAUGGGCAAAAAGGAUGUGGCACAUCUGGGCUGACGCUUUUGCACAGGGGGUGGUCUAGUCUCAUUGCCCCCCAGUGAUUAUGGAAGCGGGUCCUGCAGCGGGGUUUCAUUAGUUUAGGUACCUGAGUCCCUGCCAAUGUGCGGCACUAGUCAAAAAUCAUCCUUUGUGGGGUUAAACCAUUACUAUUCAGGGUUUUUAUCUCCUGCAGCAUGACCCAGCCCAUUUAACCCAAAUGUACACCAGCAGUUGACUCAAUCAAUAAACUGGUUUCUUCACAGAAUGGGAUAUUGUUACAGAAAUAAAAAUGAAUGAGGGAGUUCCCACUGUGGCACGGUGGAUAAAGAAUCCUACUGCAGUGGCUCAGAUUGCUUCAGAGGUGCAGGUCUGAUCCCCAGCCCAGCGCAGUGGGUUAAAGGAUCCCGCAUUGCCACAGCUGUGGCACAGGUUGCAGCUGCGGCUCGGAUUCAGUCCCUGACCUGGGAACUUCCAUAUGCCAUAGGUGAGGC